GAUGAAGAACGUAGCGAAAUGCGAUAAGUAAUGUGAAUUGCAGAAUUCAGUGAAUCAUCGAGUCUUUGAACGCACAUUGCGCCCCCUGGUAUUCCGGGGGGCAUGCCUGUCCGAGCGUCAUUGCUGCCCUCAAGCACGGCUUGUGUGUUGGGCCCCCGUCCCCGGUUUCCCCCGGGGACGGGCCCGAAAGGCAGCGGCGGCACCGCGUCCGGUCCUCGAGCGUAUUGGGCUUUGUCACCCGCUCUGUAGGCCCGGCCGGCGCCAGCCGACACCCAACUUUAUUUCUAAGGUUGACCUCGGAUCAGGUAGGGAUACCCGCUGAACUUAAGCAUAUCAAUAAGCGGAGGA
rnacentral:misc_RNA from 1 species